AUACUUUAGAUUAUGGUGUUUAUACAUCAGCCCAACCAAUGACUAUUCAUGAUUCCAUAAUUGAAUCAAUUCCAUACCGGUUCUUAGAGGAAUGUUAUGGUAAAACUUCGUUUGAAACGAUGUGGUAGAAAGCAACGUGCGACUUGAAGGACACGAUCCGUUGUGGAUUUGUACAUCCACCAUUUUUUGUAGGAAUGAAGGUGCUCUUAACUCGACAUCAUUGGUUCUGUUUCACUAGAACCCCUCGUUUUUUGUUGUCUUGGAAUGUAAAUAGUCCAUGAUGGAGCUCGAGUAGAAAGUAUUAAUUUCUUUCUCGGGGCAAGGGUCUAGGGUUAAUGCCAAUCAAUAAAACAAUUGAAACAACUUCGUAAAUAUAUCUAAUAUAUCUUAGGUAUGGAAAUCGAAAGAAUCCAAUUCGAGCAAGUUUCAAAUUAAAAAAUUUAUUGGAAUUGAUCAAACUUUUUCGAUCCAAAGUGUUUCACGAGGGAAUCCAUCAUCUUGUAGGAUUCUUUCAUAAAAAUCGCAAAAAGGGUAUGUUGCUGCCAUUUUGAAAGGAUUAAAAAGCACCGAAGUAAUGUCUAAACCCAAUGAUUUAAAAUAAAACAAAGAUAAAGGAUCCCAGAACAAGGAAACACCUUUUUAAUUGUCUUAAUAACUGGAUCAGACUGAAGAAUCCGAUUUUAAACGAGACAAACAAAAAAGGAGGAAAGACCGCUCAAUAAAUGAAAUUGCCGAAAGAUUUUCCUUUGAACUGUUUGAAAGUUAUCCAACUUGAGUUAUGAGAGUACGAAUGGUUUAUUUUUCAUUUUAAGGAAGAACGAAGAAAAAAAGACUUAGAUCUUUAAUUGCUUUGAUCAUUUUAUGGAUCCAGUUGUCAUUUCUUAGAUAGAAUUCCAUACAAAGACAAAACUUCGAAUCAAUCAUUUUUCUCGAGCCGUACGAGGAGAAAGCUUCCUAUACGUUUCUAGGGGGGGUGUUGUUCAUCUACAUCUAUCCCAAUGAGCCGUCUAUCGAAUCGUUGCAAUUGAUGUUCGAUCCCGAAGAGAAGGAAAAGAUCUUCAGAAAGUGGGUUUUUAUGAUCCGAUAAAGAAUCAAACUUAUUUAAAUGUUCCUGCUAUUUUAUAUUUCCUUGAAAAAGGGGCUCAACCUACAGAAACUGUUCAGGAUAUUUUAAAGAAGGCAGAGGUUUUUAAGGAACUUCGUCUUAAUCAACCGAAAUUCAAUUAAGGAAAUAAAUUAAGGAAAUACAAAAAAGGGGGUAGUGAUUUGUAUAUAACUUUGUAUGACUUUUCUCUUCUAUUUUUUUGUAUUUCCUCCCUUUCCUUUUCUAUUUGUAUUUAUUUAUCAUUGCUUCCAGUGAAUUCCGUGUUCUAUAACGACAAAACCUCUUAUUUUAUUGAUCUUCUAAAUAGUUAAUUCGGGCAUUUCGGAAUGAAAUCAAGUUUGCUUAUCUCAGUUAACUUGAUUGAAUCCAUUAUGAAUUCAAUAAAUCUAAGUAAAUUUAAGUAAAUUGUAGUUUUGUUUUCCACUUUUUUUUUUUCAAUAUUCAAUAUUUAUAUUGACAACAGUGUAUCGAACAAAUAUAAUUCAUUGUGAUAAAUGAAGUGGAUCUAUUUAGUUUUAUUUUAUGUUUUAAAUGAAUUCGAAAGUGUGAAUGUAUUUUUUUCGAUUUCUUCUUUCAAUGGUUUUUGGUUGUCUUGUCUAAUCUAGUUAUUUCUUUUUCUUCGGAUUGGAUCUACAUAAUUUUUUCGAUAUUUUCUUCGGGUUGCUAACUCAACGGUAGAGUACUCGGCUUUUAAGUGCGGCUAGUGUCUUUUACACAUAUGGAUGAGGUGAGGGAUUCGUCCAUACUCUCGGUAAAGUUUGGAAGACCGCGACUGAUCCUGAAAGGGAAUGAAUGGUAAAAAUAGCAUGUCGUAUCAACGGAAAGUUCUGAAAAUAUUUCAUUGUUCCUAGAUGGGUAUAAAACUGUGUUAGAAUUCUUGGAACGGAACAAAAUAAAGUUGGGUCGAAUGAAUAAAUGGAUAAGGCUGCGGCUUCAAUUAAAUUAUAGGGAAAGAAAAAGCAACGAGCUUUUGUUCUUAAUUUGAAUGAUUCCCGAUCUAAUUAGACGUUAAAAAUUUAUUAGUGCCUGGUGCGGGAAGGGUUUCUUGUCCCAUGAGUGUGUUCUCAAUUUUUUUAAUGAAUCCUAACUAUUACCAUUUUCGAUUAUGGAGAUGUGUGUAGAAGAAACAGUAUAUUGAUAAAGAAAGUUUUUUCCGAAGUCAAAAGAGCGAUUAGGUUGAAAAAAUAAAGGAUUUCUAAACAUCUUAUUAUCCUAUAACACUAUAACAUAGACCAAUUAAAUGAAACGAAAAAAAAAAGAGAUGAUAGAGAAUCCGUUGAGAAGUUUACCUGUAUUCAAGGUAUCUAUUCUUACUACAAUACUUUGUUUUAACUGUAUCGCACUAUGUAUCAUUUGAUAACCCUCAAAAUCUUCCAUCUUUGGUUCAAAUCGAAU
rnacentral:lncRNA from 1 species